GACAGAGGUGGCGAGCGUUGUUCGGAAUUACUGGGCUUAAAGGGCGAGUAGGCGGUGGAGCAAGUCUGAGGUGGAAUCUUAGGGCUUAACCCUAAAACUGCCUUAGAAACUGUUUUACUUGAGUCAGUGAGGGGAGGGCGGAAUUCCUGGUGUAGCGGUGAAAUGCGUAGAUAUCAGGAGGAAGGCCUGUGGCGAAGGCGGCCCUCUGGUACUGAACUGACGCUGAGGCGCGAAAGCGUGGGUAGCAAACAGG
rnacentral:rRNA from 1 species